AACGAACGCUGGCGGCAGGCCUAACACAUGCAAGUCGAACGCUCUAGCAAUAGAGAGUGGCAGACGGGUGAGUAACACGUGGGAAUCUUCCUAUCGGUACGGAAUAGCUCAGGGAAACUUGGGGUAAUACCGCAUACGCCCUUCGGGGGAAAGAUUUAUCGCCGAUAGAUGAGCCCGCGUCUGAUUAGCUAGUUGGUGAGGUAAUGGCUCACCAAGGCGACGAUCAGUAGCUGGUCUGAGAGGAUGACCAGCCACACUGGGACUGAGACACGGCCCAGACUCCUACGGGAGGCAGCAGUGGGGAAUAUUGGACAAUGGGCGCAAGCCUGAUCCAGCCAUGCCGCGUGAGUGACGAAGGUCUUCGGAUUGUAAAGCUCUUUUGGCGGGGACGAUAAUGACGGUACCCGCAGAAUAAGCCCCGGCUAACUUCGUGCCAGCAGCCGCCGUAAGAC
rnacentral:rRNA from 1 species